rnacentral:rRNA from 1 species
CCUACGGGAGGCAGCAGUGGGGAAUAUUGCACAAUGGGGGAAACCCUGAUGCAGCGACGCCGCGUGAGUGAAGAAGGAUUUCGGUAUGUAAAGCUCUAUCAGCAGGGAAGAAACCCACCCUACGGGGUGGCUGACGGUACCUGACUAAGAAGCACCGGCGGACUACGUGCCAGCAGCCGCGGUAAUACGGAGGGGGCAAGCGUUAUCCGGAUUUACUGGGUGUAAAGAGAGCGUAGGUGGCAAGGCAAGUCAGCUGUGAAAGCCCGGGGCCCAACCCCGGGAGUGCAUUUGAUACUGUGUGGCUAGAGUGCAGGAGAGGUAAGUGGAAUUCCUGGUGGAGCGGUGAAAUGCAUAGAUAUUAGGAGGAACGCCAGUGGCGAAGGCGGCUUACUGGACUGUAACUGACGCUGAGGCUCGAAAGCGUGGGGAGCAAACAGGAUUAGAUACCCCUGUAGUC